GUCCACGCCCUAAACGAUGUCUACUAGUUGUCGGGAGAGGAAUCUCUUGGUAACGCAGCUAACGCGUGAAGUAGACCGCCUGGGGAGUACGGUCGCAAGAUUAAAACUACAAAGGAAUUGACGGGGGCCCGCACAAGCGGUGGAUGAUGUGGAUUAAUUCGAUGCAACGCGAAAAACCUUACCUUGUCUUGACAUGUAGCGAAUCCUGCAGAGACGCAGGAGUGCCCGAAAGGGAGCGCUAACACAGGUGCUGCAUGGCUGUCGU
rnacentral:rRNA from 1 species